UACGUAGGGUGCGAGCGUUAAUCGGAAUUACUGGGCGUAAAGCGUGCGCAGGCGGUUUUGUAAGCCAGAUGUGAAAGCCCCGGGCUUAACCCGGGAAUGGCAUUUGGGACUGCAAGGCUUGAGUGCGGCAGAGGGGACUGGAAUUCCUGGUGUAGCAGUGAAAUGCGUAGAUAUCAGGAGGAAUACCGAUGGCGAAGGCAGGUCUCUGGGCUGACACUGACGCUCAUGCACGAAAGCGUGGGGAGCAAACAGG
rnacentral:rRNA from 1 species